UUUAAUGUGAGAGCUCCGUUGCGAAAAAUCACUUCGCAAAUAAUAGUAUAGAUAGAUAAUAUUGAUUCUGUCUUUCUCACUUUGGAGUUUAAGUUUCGGUACAAGUUUCCUAAUAAAGAUGUACAUGGUUUUUUGGGGUACUUUGAUGUGUCUGUGUCCAGGAUUAAAUUUGGACCAAUACCCGGAAAAAGUAACUACAAGUGACCUCUCUGCUAUUUAUUUUAAAUAUGCUCAUCAUGAGUUUUGUUUUUAGCUGGCUUUGAAUUCUAUCUCAGAUUAGUUUUGUAUGUGUUGAAUCGGAGUUUUUUAUAUGUCACCAUGAAGUUAAAUAGUGAGAUCAAAACUUAAUUCAUGUUCAAUCCCAAGCAGAGUUACAAAACUGCAUGACAAGAAAAUCCUUACUGAUGAGUUGAAUUAAGUGUGUGAUAGACAAGAUUCAUAACAAAAAGCAACCAUCUGUGGAUAAGGCACUCAUACCAUAAAAUUUAGAGAGAAACUCUCAGAGAUGAACAAGCCCUCACUUGGAGAUAAUUCACAAUUGCGACGAUGUCAUGUGAUGGACCUCUAAUAAGUAAAUUCACAUGCGCCUUUUUCAGUCUCCAGAAGACACAGAGGCAUCGAGAGAAAUGGCUCACUACCAUAGAGGUGAACCUGUCUCUGCAGAUUAAUUUUAGUGGGCUCUAAAUGUAUACUUCAAUAACCUUACCAAAGUCAACCUUCAUUUGGAGCUGACAAGAAGCCGGAGAAUAACUCCCAGUAGCUGUACCAGCCAAUAGCACAAAUUAUUUCACAAAGCAAUGAAAAUGGAGUCUGCAAAAGAACCCCUAAAUUCAUGAUGGGGGUCUUGGAGGGGAAAUGGAUUCGAAGCAUAUAUUGAUCAAGGCAUGUAUGAAAAACACAUAAUGUGUAACCGAGCCAUACAGAUUUCCAUAGAUGUUCAUGGAACAAGACCAGGACCUUAUAUUGGAAAACCGAGCUUUGAACAAGCAGGAGGAGCCUAAUCAAGUGAAAGUUCUCAGGUGUUUCAACUCAGUAAGUAUUUACCUAUAAACCAACACAGUUCCAUUUCUUACUGUUUUGCAACUACUAUUUUUACUAUUUAGGCUCUCACUGUUCUACUCUACUUCAAACUCUACCAUAAGCUCCAUCGACUCUUUAAAAAAAAGUAAGAAGUAGUAGUUACUUUUGAUGGGAAUAAUCAUGCGUACCUGGAAGUAUAGUGGGCUUUGUCCUUUUGUAUUAAGGUUGCUCCUACAAUUCCCAUGAGUUUAUGUGAGGAAGGAUACGCAUACGUUUUAUUGAGAUGUACGAGAGAGCAUUAUGAAACUACUUAGUUAAAAGACAAAAUAUUAUGUUGUGUCCAUAUAAAAAAUAUAACCUAAACGUUUGCCGAUUACAUUAUAGCGGCUUUGUUUGAAAGUUUUUUUUUUGAACAACUGUUUGAAAGUAUUAUAUUAAAA